rnacentral:rRNA from 1 species
GANNANNNUGACAGAAUGNNNNACACNUGCAAGUCAACUNGGAUUUGGGUUUUUAACUUAGNUUUGGGUGGCGGACGGGUGAGUAACGCGUAAAGAACUUGCCUCACAGCUAGGGACAACAUUUGGAAACGAAUGCUAAUACCUAAUAUUAUGAUAAUAGGGCAUCCUAUAAUUAUGAAAGCUAUAAGCGCUGUGAGAGAGCUUUGCGUCCCACUAGCUAGUUGGAGAGGUAACGGCUCACCAAGGCGAUGAUGGGUAGCCGGCCUGAGAGGGUGAUCGGCCACAAGGGGACUGAGACACGGCCCUUACUCCUACGGGAGGCAGCAGUGGGGAAUAUUGGACAAUGGACCGAGAGUCUGAUCCAGCAAUUCUGUGUGCACGAUGAAGUUUUUCGGAAUGUAAAGUGCUUUCAGUUGGGAAGAAAAAAUGACGGUACCAACAGAAGAAGUGACGGCUAAAUACGUGCCAGCAGCCGCGGUAAUACGUAUGUCACGAGCGUUAUCCGGAUUUAUUGGGCGUAAAGCGCGUCUAGGUGGUUAUGUAAGUCUGAUGUGAAAAUGCAGGGCUCAACUCUGUAUUGCGUUGGAAACUGUAUAACUAGAGUACUGGAGAGGUAAGCGGAACUACAAGUGUAGAGGUGAAAUUCGUAGAUAUUUGUAGGAAUGCCGAUGGGGAAGCCAGCUUACUGGACAGAUACUGACGCUGAAGCGCGAAAGCGUGGGUAGCAAACAGG